AGUGAACGCUGGCGGUAGGCCUAACACAUGCAAGUCGAACGGCAGCACAGUAAGAGCUUGCUCUUACGGGUGGCGAGUGGCGGACGGGUGAGGAAUGCAUCGGAAUCUACUUUUUCGUGGGGGAUAACGUAGGGAAACUUACGCUAAUACCGCAUACGACCUACGGGUGAAAGCAGGGGAUCUUCGGACCUUGCGCGAUUGAAUGAGCCGAUGUCGGAUUAGCUAGUUGGCGGGGUAAAGGCCCACCAAGGCGACGAUCCGUAGCUGGUCUGAGAGGAUGAUCAGCCACACUGGAACUGAGACACGGUCCAGACUCCUACGGGAGGCAGCAGUGGGGAAUAUUGGACAAUGGGCGCAAGCCUGAUCCAGCAAUACCGCGUGGGUGAAAAAGGCCUUCGGGUUGUAAAGCCCUUUUGUCGGGAAAGAAAAGCAGCAGGUUAAUACCCCGCUGUUCUGACGGUACCCAAAGAAUAAGCACCGGCUAACUUCGUG
rnacentral:rRNA from 1 species